UAAUAAAAUCCAAUUGGUUAGUGAUUUUUGGUCAUAUUGUGGCUCGAUUUUUGAGUAGAACCCUUCGUAUUCAUAUUGAACCUUAAUAAGUUUGCAGCUUGAUUAAGAAUGAGAGUCAGAAACUACCAAUAUUUUUCUUGGAAGGGUAUAAAUAUGUACAAACUUCUAUUUUAUCCAAAGUCUGAGGUUGACUGUUGAGUUCUAUUUUUAAUUCUGAGUUAAAAACAUAGUAUUAUUCCUAAUAUAUCUGAUUUUCAGCAAGUUUACUUGGACAUGUUUGGCACUAUUAUCGCCGUAAUUUGGAGUCAACGGUUGAUGCUCGGAUAGUUAUUGAUAGCCAGACGCUGACUUAUCCUGAUAAUUAUAUGAUUUAAAGAACAAAAUCGAGAUUAUAUUCCUGUUUCUGUAACCAGGUGGUACCUGGUGUAGUCAAGUGCUGAGGUACUAUAGUAUCUGGUGAAGUCAUUUGCUGUAGAAAGCCGCAGGAUACGAAUAAUCAGUUCUGUGUGCAAAUAGCUUUAUAAAUGUUGCUGUUCUGAAUCAGCUAAUCAGGUUACAUGCACAACAAGUUUAUAAACUCAUACUCCCUCAGUCUCAUUCAAUAGUAUACGUUACCUUUUGACACGUUUUUUUUUACGAAACCUUUUGACACGUUUUUUAUGACUGCUUUAAAGUAUAGUUCCAUAAUAUUUUUUAUAAUUUUCUUUCUCUGAGUAAAAGUUUGAUAUUUAAGCUUCUAUUAGAAAAAUAUAAUUUAAAAAAAUAUUAUGGAACUAAACUGGUACGAUAUGCUUGUCUCCAGAUAUGAAGCCUUCAUAUCUAUACUUCCGAAGAGUGAAGGAGAAUCGGUACGAUAUUCUUAUCUCUACAUAUGAAGCCUCGAAAUCCAUACUUGGUGAGAUAAUCUCACAAAUCUAUAAGAGGUUCAUGUUGUUGUUGAAUGAACUAACUCUUCAUGACAAAACAUAUCCUCAAGAUGAGAUAAACAGAAAUUUAAUAUUAGUAAUGUCACCACAUUUAGUAAACAAGACUGAAUCCAUCCGCAAAAAAAGCGACUUCAGAUCUAUAUCCCUUGAAAAGUUGUUUGAAAAAAUUAAGACGUUUGUCAUGGAACUUGAGCAAAGAAAGAUUAUAUAUGAAGCUGGAUCGCUGGAGGCCAAGCAUGCGGCUAUGCAAAAGACUACCGCUCUUCUAGCUGAUGUGUCAUACUUUGCAUAUCAAGAACUAAUUGACUAUGGCCAGAAUGACUAUUCAUCUGCAAAAAGUGAUUAAUCAUCGGUCAAAAUCUGAAUACACCGAUGCAAAGCCUGAGGUUAUUAAGGCUGAAAUUGAUGAAAAUUCCAUGUAUCCGGAGGACGAGUUUUACACUCUAGAGGAGUUUGAACAACUUGAGGAUAAUUCCAUGGCUUAUAUGUCUGCCAGGUUCAAGCACAUCAAAUUCGGAAAGAACCCCCGGUACAAGAAAGCAUCUAGAAGCAAGUUCCAAGACAAUAAUGGUUAUUCAGGAUCAAGGUCUGGCUCAAGAAGUAACGGCAGUUUCAAACUAAAUAUGAUCGAUAAAAGCAAGACAAGGUGCUACAACUGCAAUGACUUGGGGCACUUUGCAACUGAGUGGAGGAAACCAAAGACGGCUCCUGCCAAAGAACAAUUCACCUCUUAUGAGAAGAAGAAUUCAUAUCUUGAAUUUGAAGAAAGAGAAUGAGAAGCUGAAAGCGAAAUUGGAAGCGAUGAUGGCCAACCACAAAGGAUGGGUCUACAUUGCUGAGGGAAAAAAUUGGGAUGACACUAACUCUAACGAAGAACUUCUAGAGCAACUAUGCAUACGCUCAUGGCAGACACUAAAUGUACUAACCCCAAAUUUAGUAGCCCUUUAUUGCCCUUUAUCACACCUAUGUGGGUCGGGUGCGGUCUUUUCAUUGUCCAAUCCUAUAAUAUAGAAUUAUUUUUUUUGAUGUUGUGGUUCAUGUAUGAGAUAUAUAUAUAUAUAUAAUUAGUUUGCUCGAUCUUGAUGGUUAUUAAAUUGCUUCAUUAAUUCUACUAACAUAAAUCUUCCUCUUGAAUUUCGUUUAGGUUUUAAGAGUUAUAUGAUAAGAGCGAAGCUGGUUGGUGCAAAGUAAAAUUCUGGUGCUUUGAAGACGCAUAAAAGUGUGAUAAAUAAGGCGGAGGAAUAUAAGUACGUAGCAAUUAGUUGGUAAAAUUUGUCAGAAAUGAAGUUUGAAAUUGGGCUUAAAUACAUGAUUUAGUCAUAUACAGCAAAUUUGAUGGAUGUGAAACGGGUGCAUAAAAUAAAUGAAUGUCAAUCAAAAGCUGAAAAUGAUGACUCCAUCUUAAUAGUUUCUUACUAGAUUCUUUGCUCUUCCCAACUUUGUUUUCUUUUGAUUUUUAAGAGUUACGCAAAUUUUUAAAUGUAUUAUGCAUCUUUAAUAUAUGUAAUAUUUUAUAAUUAAUUUUUAUAUAAAUGGAUGUGUCGAAGUUCGAUUUCUUUUACAUAUAUAGUAUGGAGUCAGAUUUAAAUUUUGGUGUCUUUACACUACGCCAUAAGUGCCCAUAUGCAACGCUCAAUAGUGUUGCCUUAUACCCCAAAUGGUAUUGCCUUAGGCAUGAAAUCGAGAUAUGCAACGCUUUCUGAGCGUUGCAUAUGCGAGCCUUGCCUUUGACCUAUAAGGCAACACUUAUGGCUAUCUAAUGCAACACCGAAUAUGUAUUGCAUUAUACCUAUAAUGCAACACCACAGUUUCAUAAAGGCAACAUUUAUUUGUGUUGCCCCUAAAGAUGGACACACAACAGAGGUGGGUCCCACUUCAUCUGCCACGUCAGUUGGGUCCCUCCUGACACGUCACCUGGCACGUAAGUUGGGUCCACCUGCCACGUCAUUGAUGAGUCACUUUCCAUGUCAUUGAUGAGUCACUUGCCACGUCAUGGUUGGGGCCCACAUGAUCCAAAUAUUUAGUGGGUCUCACAUAGCUUUUACAACACUAUAUAUUAUAAUAUGCAACACUAUGUUGUUUAUAUUGGCAACACUGAUAAAUAAUAUAUGAAACACUAAAUAAAUUUAAAAUUGCAACACUGGAAAAUGUAAAAUGCAACACUUUUUGUAAAAAAUUUGCAAUAGUAGUUUUGGACAUUUAUAAAUCCCUUCCUAAUUAAACAACCCAUCAACCAACAAAGCAACCCUGUCAUAGUCUUUUACCAAGCUAACAGUCACAAAAUCCAACUAACUACCAAUCCCAACAACCAACAAAAUAGCUAAGUACCGAAUCUUUGAAUGGCUUAAGACAGUAACAAAUCUGUCAUACUACAUAGAUUAAGUUCAAAAUAACCAACUCUUAAUAGUUCUAGACAAUAGCUGAAUAAUAGGACUAUGUCGUGGCCCCUCCUUGAGUCACAGGAGUGCCGUUGUCAUCUUGAUCACUGGACACCGUAGCACAAAAGUCCCCAAUAUUUAAUUUUAGAUCGGGAUUUGCAUCCCCUAGUUUUUUCAGUGCCCAAGUCAAAUUUUUCUGCACUUUGCGAUUAACUUUGGCUUCCAGUUCAAUUUCUAAGUCAUGUUUGAUCCUUUGUGGUCAACUCCUACACAUAUUGUUCCGUAGGAAUUGCUGCCGAACCAGAGAAUUGACCAGUUUGCUUUGUACCGGCUCUUCCAGCUCCGUCGUUUAUGUAUGGCUUUUAUUUUUCACGUUGCCUGUUUCAUGCUUCUUAUUUGAGAUUUUGUCUCCAACACAUCCAUUGUACCAGACGUACUGGUUCUUGUUCAAUAGAUGCACUACACAUAAAAUUAGUCUAAGUAGUCACUAAUAAAUGUUUAAACAACAUAUGUACGCUAAUACUUAUAUAUAAACAAAUAAUAUGUUGAUUAAGACACUUGUUAAUACAGUUAUUAUAGAGAAACACGAUAAUAUAAUGUAACAAAGAUACGAAUAAAGAACAUUAAAGAAUUAAACAUUUACGAGAUUCUUCAAUAGUCUAGAUAUAUAUCAAAUGUAGGGGUGUUCACCGGACCGCCCACACCGCACCAAACCGCACCACAAAAUACGGUUUCAAAUUUUUGUGGUGCGGUUGCGGGUUGAAUUUUUUACAAACCGCGCGGUGCGGUGCGGGUUGUGGUUUGAGAUUUAGGUAUCGCGGUUCAAACCGCACCGCACCACAUAUAAUAUAUAUAUAUUAUAAUAUUUAUAUAAUAUAAUAUAAUAUAUGUAUAUAUAAUAUUUAUAUCAUAUAUUUAUUUUGGCCCAUAUUUCAGAUUAGCCCAGCCCAACAAUAGUGUAACCUAAUAUUAACCCUACGACUCUCAUCUCUUCACAGUUCAUUUGACAUGUACUUGUUUUUAUAUACCACUGUAAUAGCUCCUGCCACUGUCUAGUAUGCCAAAUAUGAAGCUGCUUUUGAGUUUGUAAUUGACUAUUUGUAAUGUGAUUUUACACUCGGAUGUUGAUUUGACCACUCAAUGAAGAGACGAAUUAUUUAGUGACUUCUAAUUUUUAUUGUAAUUUUUAAUUUUGAUUUUUUUUAUAAUUUUAAAAGUAAAAUUGUUAGACCGCACAAACCGCAAUGCACCGCACCGCAUUUAUGCGGUGUGGUUUACGUGGCUUUUGAUUUACGCGGUGCGGUCGCGGUUUAAGUUUUUAACCAAACCGCAUAUGCGGGUUGGUCUGCGGUUUUAGGUAAAAACCGCACCACCCGCACCGCGAACACCCCUAAUCAAAUGUCAUCAGUUACGGGAAAAUAGGUGAGUUUAUGAUAUUAUAUAUAUGGGCCGAUUAUAUCGAUUAUACUACACUCUAGUGUUCAAAUAACUUAAAGACAUCGGUCUCAGAUAAAUUGAUGUAAUAAACGCUUUUAAAAUUGGUGUCACUUCAAACGAUAUUAAAAAUCCGAUGUCUAUUUUACUUUUUCUAGAAGUAAAUAAACACUUGAAAACUACAAAUAAUAAAAAUAAAUUACUUACCAAUACGAACAACUUACCAGAGAAAUAUUGAAUAUGGAGCAUUUUCUUCAUUGCUUGAUAAUCAGAUGCAACUAUAUUUGGGUACAUGUUAUCCAGAUCUACACGGGUGUAAGUAACAUCUGUGGAUGAAAACUCAAAAUUAUUAGAAUGAUAAUAAAAGUAGAGAAUACUAUUUUCUAAAUUAUAAAAAUCAUCCUAUAUCACAUGAUAAAGCUAUUAACUUAUAUUUAAAAUUAUACAAAAGAAAGAGAUCUGAUUAGCUCACCAUACUCUUACAGGAGUAUAUAUCAAAAUUUUAUACCAAGUACAUGAAAUCAUUUUGGUAUUAUUGAAAUCACUUACAAUUAGAUCUAAAAUACCAAAAUCAAACUAGAAAGAUUGAAAACUUACUUGAGUAAACAAAUUGUAUUAUAAACGAUCUAAUUGUAAAAUUCA
rnacentral:lncRNA from 1 species